rnacentral:rRNA from 1 species
GUGUCCGGAGUACGAUGCUCAGCGCCCGACCUCCACCCUUUGUUGUUAAAACUACCUUGUUGCUUUGGCGGGACCGCUCGGUCUCGAGCCGCUGGGGAUUCGUCCCAGGCGAGCGCCCGCCAGAGUUAAACCAAACUCUUGUUAUUUAACCGGUCGUCUGAGUUAAAAUUUUGAAUAAAUCAAAACUUUCAACAACGGAUCUCUUGGUUCUCGCAUCGAUGAAGAACGCAGCGAAAUGCGAUAAGUAAUGUGAAUUGCAGAAUUCAGUGAAUCAUCGAAUCUUUGAACGCACAUUGCGCCCCUUGGUAUUCCGAGGGGCAUGCCUGUUCGAGCGUCAUUACACCACUCAAGCUAUGCUUGGUAUUGGGUGCCGUCCUUAGUUGGGCGCGCCUCAAAGACCUCGGCGAGGCCUCACCGGCUUUAGGCGUAGUAGAAUUUAUUCGAACGUCUGUCAAAGGAGAGGACUUCUGCCGACUGAAACCUUUUAUUUUUCUAGGUUGACCUCGGAUCAGGUAGGGAUACCCGCUGAACUUAAGCAUAUCAAAACCCGGAGGAAAAUG